rnacentral:rRNA from 1 species
GACGAACGCUGGCGGCGUGCUUAACACAUGCAAGUCGAACGGUGAAGCGCCUUCCUUUUUGGUGGGUGUGUAUGAGUGGCCAACGGGUGAGCAACACGUGAGUAACCUUCCCCCUUCUUCUUAAUAACCGCAUGCAAGUGUUGCUACUACGGGAUAUUCUGGGUCUGUCGCUUGAUUGGUCUGAGACAGUUUUUGUUUCGGUUGUGGAUGGGCUCGCGCCGUAUCAGCUUGUUGGUGGGGUGAUGGCGUACCAAGGCGGCGACGAGUAGCCGACCUGAGAGGGGGGUGGGCGGCAACACAGGGACGGCGAGACGCAGAAGACUACGAGGGGCGGCAGCAGGGGAGAAUAUGGCACGAUGGGCGGAAGGCUGAUGCAGCGACGCGGCGGGAGGGAUGGAGGCCUGAGCGUUGUGAACCGCUUUCGGGAGUGAAGAAGGGCGGACGCGUUUGUGGAUGGGUUGACGGUAGCUGGAUAAGAAGCGACGGCUAACUACGUG